rnacentral:rRNA from 1 species
GCCCACAAGGCCUUUACUGACGCUAAAGCUCGAAGGUGCGGGUAUCGAACAGGAUUAGAUACCCUGGUAGUCCGCACGGUAAACGAUGGAUGCCCGCUGUUUGCGAUAUAGUGUGAGCGGCCAAGAGAAAUCGUUAAGCAUCCCACCUGGGGAGUACGCCGGCAACGGUGAAACUCAAAGGAAUUGACGGGGGCCCGCACAAGCGGAGGAACAUGUGGUUUAAUUCGAUGAUACGCGAGGAACCUUACCCGGGCUUGAACUGCAGGGGAACGAUCCAGAGAUGGUGAGGUCAGCAAUGACCCCUGUGGAGGUGCUGCAUGGUUGUCGUCAGCUCGUGCCGUGAGGUGUCGGCUUAAGUGCCAUAACGAGCGCAACCCCUUUCAUUAGUUGCCAUCACUUCGGGUGGGCACUCUGGUGAUACUGCCACCGUAAGGUGUGAGGAAGGUGGGGAUGACGUCAAAUCAGCACGGCCCUUACGUCCGGGGCUACACACGUGUUACAAUGGGUGAUACAGAGGGCCGGUGCAUGGCAAUGUGCAUCAAAUCUUAAAAGUCAUCCUCAGUUCGGAUUGGGGUCUGCAACCCGACCCCAUGAAGCUGGA